rnacentral:rRNA from 1 species
UACGGGGGGGGCAAGCGUUGUUCGGAAUUACUGGGCGUAAAGGGCGCGUAGGCGGCCUGCUAAGUCACACGUGAAAUCCCUCGGCUCAACCGGGGAACUGCGUGUGAUACUGGCGGGCUUGAAUUCGGGAGAGGGAUGUGGAAUUCCAGGUGUAGCGGUGAAAUGCGUAGAUAUCUGGAGGAACACCAAUUGCGAAGGCAGCUCGCUGGGACGUUACUGACGCUGAGACGCGAAAGCGUGGGGAGCAAACAGG